GGGGGUAGAGCUCAGUGGUAGAAAGCAUGCUUAGCAUGCACGAGGUCCUGGGUUCAAUCCCCGGUACCUCCA
rnacentral:tRNA from 1 species